rnacentral:rRNA from 1 species
GAUGAACGCUGGCGGCGUGCCUAAUACAUGCAAGUCGAGCGAACGGACGAGAAGCUUGCUUUUCUGAUGUUAGCGGCGGACGGGUGAGUAACACGUGGAUAACCUACCUAUAAGACUGGGAUAACUUCGGGAAACCGGAGCUAAUACCGGAUAAUAUUUUGAACCGCAUGGUUCAAAAGUGAAAGACGGUCUUGCUGUAACUUAUAGAUGGAUCCGCGCUGCAUUAGCUAGUUGGUAAGGUAACGGCUUACCAAGGCAACGAUGCAUAGCCGACCUGAGAGGGUGAUCGGCCACACUGGAACGGAGACACGGUCCAGACUCCUACGGGAGGCAGCAGUAGGGAAUCUUCCGCAAUGGGCGAAAGCCUGACGGAGCAACGCCGCGUGAGUGAUGAAGGUCUUCGGAUCGUAAAACUCUGUUAUUAGGGAAGAACAUAUGUGUAAGUAACUGUGCACAUCUUGACGGUACCUAAUCAGAAAGCCACGGCUAACUACGUG